CGGACGAACGCUGGCGGCGUGCUUAACACAUGCAAGUCAAGGGGGAGUCGCAAGACCCAACCGGCGAACGGGUGCGUAACACGUGAGCGACCUACCUAAUUGUGGGGGAUAGCCGGCCCAACGGCCGGGUAAUACCGCAUACGAUCGGAGAGGGGCAUCCCUUUCUGAGGAAAGCCUUCGGGCGCAAUUUGAGGGGCUCGCGGCCUAUCAGCUAGUUGGCGGGGUAACGGCCCACCAAGGCGACGACGGGUAGC
rnacentral:rRNA from 1 species